rnacentral:rRNA from 1 species
AGCAGCCGCGGUAAUUCCAGCUCCAAUAGCGUAUAUUAAAGUUGUUGCAGUUAAAAAGCUCGUAGUUGAAUUUCGGGAUUCGUCCAUUGGUCAGGCUUAACUGUCUGUACUGGUGUGUCGGAUUUCUACCUUCUGAAGAACCUUUAUGCCAUUAAUUUGGUGUGUUGGGGAAUCAGGACUGUUACUUUGAAAAAAUUAGAGUGUUUAAAGCAGGCUAACGUCUGAAUACAUUAGCAUGGAAUAAUGAAAUAGGACGGUACGGUUCUAUUUUGUUGGUUUCUAGGAUCGCCGUAAUGAUUAAUAGGGAUAGUUGGGGGCAUUAGUAUUCAAUUGUCAGAGGUGAAAUUCUUGGAUUUAUUGAAGACUAACUACUGCGAAAGCAUUUGCCAAGGAUGUUUUC